rnacentral:rRNA from 1 species
GAGUUUGAUCAUGGCUCAGAGUGAACGCUGGCGGCAGGCCUAACACAUGCAAGUCGAACGGCAGCACAGCAGUAGCAAUACUGUGGGUGGCGAGUGGCGGACGGGUGAGGAAUACAUGGGAAUCUACCCUGUCGUGGGGGAUAACGUAGGGAAACUUACGCUAAUACCGCAUACGACCGAGAGGUGAAAGCGGCGGACCGCAAGGCGUCGCGCGAUUGGAUGAGCCCAUGUCGGAUUAGCUAGUUGGCGGGGUAAAGGCCCACCAAGGCGACGAUCCGUAGCUGGUCUGAGAGGAUGAUCAGCCACACUGGAACUGAGACACGGUCCAGACUCCUACGGGAGGCAGCAGUGGGGAAUAUUGGACAAUGGGCGCAAGCCUGAUCCAGCCAUGCCGCGUGAGUGAAGAAGGCCUUCGGGUUGUAA